GACGAACGCUGGCGGCGUGCUUAAUACAUGCAAGUCAACUGAACUUGAGGUAGCAAUAUCACAAGAGAGGUGGCGCACGGGUGAGUAACACGUAGGUAAUCUGCCUUUAGGUCUGACAUAAUUCCGCGAAAGCGGGACUAAUAUCAGAUGAUGCAGCGGCUCGACAUCGAGACAGUUGUUAAACCUUCGGGGCCUAAAGAUGAGCCUGCGUCUGAUUAGGUAGUUGGCGGAGUAAAAGCCCACCAAGCCUGCGAUCAGUAGCUGGUCUGAGAGGAUGAUCAGCCACACUGGAACUGAGACACGGUCCAGACUCCUACGGGAGGCAGCAGUAAGGAAUAUUGCU
rnacentral:rRNA from 1 species